GAUGAAGAACGCAGCGAAAUGCGAUACUUGGUGUGAAUUGCAGAAUCCCGUGAACCAUCGAGUCUUUGAACGCAAGUUGCGCCCGAAGCCACUAGGCCGAGGGCACGCCUGCCUGGGCGUCACACGCCGUUGCCCCCCCAUCUACUCCUUCGGGAUUGCGGGGGGGCGGAUGAUGGCCUCCUGUGCGCCUAGCCGCGCGGUUGGCAUAAAUACCAAGUCCUCGGCGACGCACGCCACGACAAUCGGUGGUUGCGAAACCUCGGUUGCCCGUCGUGUGCGUUCGUCGCGCAUCGAGGGCUCGAAAAAAUGCUCGGCUCCGGCUGGGCUUUCAACGCGACCCCAGGUCAGGCGGGGUUACCCGCUGAAUUUAAGCAUAUCAAUAAGGGAGGA
rnacentral:misc_RNA from 1 species